GCAGAGAUGGUCGAGUUGGUUUAAGGCACCGGUCUUGAAAACCGGCGAAGGUAACACUUCCCUGGGUUCGAAUCCCAGUCUCUGCG
rnacentral:tRNA from 1 species